CGGACCGGCGCACGGGUGAGUAACACGUAUGCAACCUGGCCGUCACAGGUGGAUAACCGGAAGAAAUUCCGACUAAUACAGCAUAACACUCCUGAGGGACAUCCCUUGGGAGUCAAAGGAGGCAACUCCGGUGACGGAUGGGCAUGCGGCGCAUUAGGUAGUUGGUAGGGUAACGGCCUACCAAGCCGACGAUGCGUAGGGGUUCUGAGAGGAAGGUCCCCCACAUUGGAACUGAGACACGGUCCAAACUCCUACGGGAGGCAGCAG
rnacentral:rRNA from 1 species